rnacentral:RNase_P_RNA from 3 species
AAGAGAAGGCGAGGUGAACGCGGAUGGCCCUACGGGGUCGUCUGAGGAAAGUCCGGGCUCCCCAAUGGCCAGGCCUGCUGGUUAAUGACCAGUGCGGGCGACCGUGAGGACAGUGCCACAGAAACACACCGCCGAUGGCCCCAUGGGUUCGCCCGGGCACAGGUAAGGGUGCAAAGGUGCGGUAAGAGCGCACCAGCAGCAUCGAGAGGUGCUGGCUCGGUAAACCCCGGCCGGGAGCAAGGCCCAGGAGCAACGGUUGGCCAUGGCACCAGCUCCGCUGCAACAGCGCCGCUAGAGGUUGUCGGCAACGACGAUCCCAGAGAGAUGUUCACCCCCGCAAGGGAACAGAACCCGGCUUACGUCCUUCUCUUCUUC